rnacentral:rRNA from 1 species
UGGGAAUUUUGGACAAUGGGCGCAAGCCUGAUCCAGCCAUGCCGCGUGCGGGAAGAAGGCCUUCGGGUUGUAAACCGCUUUUGUCAGGGAAGAAAUCUUCUGAGUUAAUACCUCGGGAGGAUGACGGUACCUGAAGAAUAAGCACCGGCUAACUACGUGCCAGCAGCCGCGGUAAUACGUAGGGUGCAAGCGUUAAUCGGAAUUACUGGGCGUAAAGCGUGCGCAGGCGGUUUUGUAAGACAGAGGUGAAAUCCCCGGGCUCAACCUGGGAACUGCCUUUGUGACUGCAAGGCUUGAGUGCGGCAGAGGGGGAUGGAAUUCCGCGUGUAGCAGUGAAAUGCGUAGAUAUGCGGAGGAACACCGAUGGCGAAGGCAAUCCCCUGGGCCUGCACUGACGCUCAUGCACGAAAGCGUGGGGAGCAAACAGGAUUAGAUACCCUGGUAGUCCACGCCCUAAACGAUGUCAACUGGUUGUUGGGAAGGUUCCUUCUCAGUAACGUAGCUAACGCGUGAAGUUGACCGCCUGGGGAGUACGGCCGCAAGGUU